UACGGAGGAUCCAAGCGUUAUCCGGAAUUACUGGGCGUAAAGAGUUGCGUAGGUGGCAAGGUAAGUAGAUAGUGAAAUCGUGUGGCUCAACCAUACUCACAUUAUCUAAACUGCUUAGCUAGAGUAUGAGAGAGGUAGAUGGAAUUGCUAGUGUAGGGUUGAAAUCCGUAGAUAUUAGCAGGAACACCGAUGGCGUAGGCAGUCUACUGGCUCAUUACUGACACUAAGGCACGAAAGCGUGGGGAGCAAACGGG
rnacentral:rRNA from 1 species